UACGUAGGGGGCAAGCGUUGUCCGGAUUUAUUGGGCGUAAAGAGCGUGUAGGCGGCCAGAUAGGUCAGCUGUGAAAACUCGAGGCUCAACCUCGAGAUGUCGGCUGAAACCAUCUGGCUAGAGUCCGGAAGAGGAGAAUGGAAUUCCCGGUGUAGCGGUGAAAUGCGCAGAUAUCGGGAAGAACACCCGUGGCGAAGGCGGUUCUCUGGGCCAACACUGACGCUCAGGCACGAAAGCGUGGGGAGCAAACAGG
rnacentral:rRNA from 1 species